rnacentral:rRNA from 1 species
UACGGGGGGGGCAAGCGUUGUUCGGAAUUACUGGGCGUAAAGCGCGCGUAGGCGGCUUUUCAAGUCGGGCGUGAAAGCCCCGGGCUUAACCCGGGAAUGGCGCUCGAUACUGUUGAGCUAGAGUGUGGAAGGGGCUACUGGAAUUCCGUGUGUAGCGGUGAAAUGCGUAGAUAUCAGGAGGAACACCUGCGGUGUAGACGGCUUACUGGACCAUAACUGACGCUGAGGCACGAAAGCGUGGGUAGCAAACAGG